AGUACACGAGCGGCGGACGGCUGAGUAACGCGUAGGAACGUACCCCAAAGUGAGGGAUAACUGCCCGAAAGGGUAGCUAAUACCGCAUGUGGUCUUCGGAUUAAAGCUUUAUGCGCUUUGGGAACGGCCUGCGUCUGAUUAGCUUGUUGGUGAGGUAAAAGCUCACCAAGGCAAUGAUCGGUAGCUGGUCUGAGAGGAUGAUCAGCCAGACUGGAACUGAGACACGGUCCAGACUCCUACGGGAGGCAGCAGUAGGGAAUUUUCCACAAUGGGCGAAAGCCUGAUGGAGCAACGCCGCGUGCAGGAUGAAGGCCUUCGGGUUGUAAACUGCUUUUGUGAGUGAAGACUUCCGACAGUAACUCACGAAUAAGGGUCGGCUAACUACGUGCCAGCAGCCGCGGUCAUACGUAGGAGCCAAGCGUUAUCCGGAUUUACUGGGUGUAAAGGGAGCGUAGGUGGUUCGGUAAGUCAGAUGUGAAAGCCCGGGGCUCAACCCCGGGACUGCAUUUGAAACUAUCGAACUAGAGUGCAGGAGAGGUAAGUGGAAUUCCUAGUGUAGCGGUGAAAUGCGUAGAUAUUAGGAGGAACACCAGUGGCGAAGGCGGCUUACUGGACUGUAACUGACACUGAGGCUCGAAAGCGUGGGGAGCAAACAGGAUUAGAUACCCUGGUAGUCCACGCGGUAAACGAUGAAUACUAGGUGUCGGGGGUCAAAAGACCUCCGGUGCCGGCGCAAACGCAUUAAGUAUUCCACCUGGGGAGUACGUUCGCAAGAAUGUUGUCG
rnacentral:rRNA from 1 species